AUGGAGCGCACACAGCACUGCCCCCAGGUGCUCUGGCGUGAAACUGUGACUCACCCAACCCAGGGACGCCAGCUGAAUCUUCGAGGGCACCCUCCCUCGCAUCCAGAGACUGACACAGCACAACGGGGAAGCAGCGCUGGGCACCGGGACAGGCAGAAGUUGGGGAUCGAACUGAACGGGCCUUCCACGCGAGCUGGCUCCCGCGCAGCUGUGAUUAGCUGGCUGACUGAUGGCCUUCCACUGAGAGACCAAAUGCUCCCAUCUGACCUGGACAGGGAAGUGAGCAACGCGAAGAAUCAGCAGACGGGUCUCAAGUUUCAGGGAAGAGUUCCGGCAGCCGCGCUGCCUGCGGUUUGACCCGCGCUCUGCUGUGCGCGCAGGGCCGCUGAGGUCCCGCAGCCUCCCCCAGACGUGGCACACUCGACCAGGGGCCGGGGCUGCC
rnacentral:lncRNA from 1 species